CAGCCGCCGCGGUAAUACGAAGGGGGCUAGCGCUGCUCGGAAUUACUGGGCGUAAAGGGAGCGUAGGCGGAUCGUUAAGUUGGGGGUGAAAGCCCGGGGCUCACCUCGGAAUUGCCUUCAAUACUGGCGAUCUUGAGUAUGGAAGAGGUAUGUGGAACUCCGAGUGUAGAGGUGAAAUUCGUAGAUAUUCGGAAGAACACCAGUGGCGAAGGCGACUACCUGGUCUGGCAUUAACGCUCAUGUGCGAAAGCGUGGGGAGCAAACAGGAUUAGAUACCCGCGUAGUCCCUGUCUCUUAUACA
rnacentral:rRNA from 1 species